GUAAGUCCACAGGCCCUGUGUGCUCCCUUUGUCUGCAGCUGUGACAUCAAGGGUCCCUCCAGCCCGGCCUCGCGGCAAAGCUGAGCAGCAAAGGAAGGCAGAGGGGUGGGCCUUGCCGGCUUUGGGCCCAGAGGCUGGAGGCUGGGCUCCCUCUUUCUUCCCUUCCUCCUUUCCUCUUUCCCUCCUUCCUUUCUUCCUUGCUUCUCCCUCCUCCCCUCCCUGCCUCCCUCCUCCCAUCUCUGUCUCCCUCUUCCCCUCCCUGCUUCCCUCCUCCCCACCUUCCCUCCCUCUUCCCCUCCUUCCCUCCCUCUUCCCCUCCUUCCCUCCCUCUUCCCCUCCUUCCCUCCCUCUUCCCCUCCUUCCCUCCCUCCUCAAGCACAACACAUCCACAUCGGCCCCCAGCCCAGCGCAGCUUUAAGAGACCCACUUACCUCAGAGGAACCCAAUCAAUCCCCACAAACACCUCUCUAGAAUAGGAAGAUGGAGAUACAGAGACAGUCCCACUCUAUCGCCAGGGUAGAGUGCAGUGGUGCAAUCAUGGCCCUCUGCAGCCUCCAACUCCUGGGCUCAAGCUAUUGUCCUAUCACAGCCUCUCAAGUAGCUUGGACUGCAGCUGAGAUUCCCAGCAAGCAGUAGGCUCCCAUCCUGGACUCCAAGGAGACAACUCUUCCCUGCACCUUCACCUGGAAAGCUGUUGCCCUUUCUUCCCAGAUCACGAUCACAAGACUCCAAAUUACCGAGUGGGGUCCAACAAGGUGGGACUGUAAGGAACAUGUCCUGUGGACAUUACCUUCACUGUUCUCAUGAGUGGGAUGGGAAGAAAAGAGUCCUCCCCUUCCAAUUGGUGGAUUUUCUGGGCUUGGAAGGAGGAAAACAAAAACAAAAACAACCAAACAGAAAAUAACUAUUACCUGAAUUAUUAUGAAACUUCAGAGAAAACUACUUAUUUGAAGAAAAUAAAAUACGAUUUAUGUUGUUGAAUUUGCAUUGCCAGAAAGUUUCCAGUGUCCUUACUACAAUUUUUUUUUCACCAUCAAGUUUGGUCAGAAUCUCACAGCUCAGAGAAAAUUAUGGAGGAAUAAUAAGAUCUAGAGCAGUGCUUCUCGUAUCUUAUGUGUGAAGAAUCUUUUAUUAAUUUGUUUAAUUUCCAGACUGACAGUUUUGUAAAAUGCCUUAUUAGAAAAAAUUUUAAAAAUAAAGAAAUAAAAAGUCAAGCCCCAAAUAUUGUAUUUUAACACCCUAAAAUU
rnacentral:lncRNA from 1 species